rnacentral:rRNA from 1 species
AUUGAACGCUGGCGGCAUGCCUUACACAUGCAAGUCGAACGGUAACAGGUCUUCGGAUGCUGACGAGUGGCGAACGGGUGAGUAAUACAUCGGAACGUGCCUAGUGGUGGGGGAUAACUACUCGAAAGAGUGGCUAAUACCGCAUGAGAUCUACGGAUGAAAGCAGGGGAUCGCAAGACCUUGUGCUACUAGAGCGGCCGAUGGCAGCUUAGGUAGGUGGUGGGAUAAAAGCUUACCAAGCCGACGAUCUGUAGCUGGUCUGAGAGGACGAUCAGCGCCACUGGGAAGGAGACAAGGACCAGACUCCUACGGGAGGCAGCAGUGGGGAAUUUUGGACAAUGGGCGAAAGCCUGAUCCAGCAAUGCCGCGUGCAGGAUGAAGGCCUUCGGGUUGUAAACUGCUUUUGUACGGAACGAAAAGCCCCGGGUUAAUACCCUGGGGUCAUGACGGUACCGUAAGAAUAAGCACCGGCUAACUACGUGCCAGCAGCCGCAGUAA